rnacentral:rRNA from 1 species
AGGAAAAGAAACCAACAGGGAUUGCCCUAGUAACGGCGAGUGAAGCGGCAACAGCUCAAAUUUGAAAUCUGGCGCAAGCCCGAGUUGUAAUUUGUAGAGGAUGCUUCUGGGCAGCGGCCGGUCUAAGUUCCUUGGAACAGGUCGUCAUAGAGGGUGAGAACCCCGUAUGUGACCGGCGCGCACCCUCCACGUAGCUCCUUCGACGAGUCGAGUUGUUUGGGAAUGCAGCUCUAAAUGGGAGGUAAAUUUCUUCUAAAGCUAAAUACCGGCCAGAGACCGAUAGCGCACAAGUAGAGUGAUCGAAAGAUGAAAAGCACUUUGGAAAGAGAGUUAAAAAGCACGUGAAAUUGUUGAAAGGGAAGCGCUUGCAACCAGACUCCGCGGCGGUGUUCCGCCGGUCUUCUGACCGGUCUACUCGCCGCCGUGGGGCCAACAUCGUCUGGGGCCGCCGGAUAAGACCGUUGGAAUGUGGCUCCCUCGGGAGUGUUAUAGCCAGCGGUGAUGCGGCGCGUCUCGGGCGAGGUCCGCGCUUCGGCAAGGAUGUUGGCGUAAUGGUUGCCAGCGGCCCGUCUUGAAACACGGACCAAGGAGUCUAACAUCUAUGCGAGUGUUCGGGUGUCAAACCCCUACGCGUAAUGAAAGUGAACGGAGGUGGGAGCUUCGGCGCACCAUCGACCGAUCCUGAUGUCCUCGGAUGGAUUUGAGUAAGAGCAUAGCUGUUGGGACCCGAAAGAUGGUGAACUAUGCCUGAAUAGGGUGAAGCCAGAGGAAACUCUGGUGGAGGCUCGCAGCGGUUCUGACGUGCAAAUCGAUCGUCAAAUUUGGGUAUAGGGGCGAAAGACUAAUCGAACCAU